rnacentral:rRNA from 1 species
GACGAACGCUGGCGGCGUGCUUAACACAUGCAAGUCGAACGGAAAGGCCCUGCUUGCAGGGUACUCGAGUGGCGAACGGGUGAGUAACACGUGGGUGAUCUGCCCUGCACUUCGGGAUAAGCCUGGGAAACUGGGUCUAAUACCGGAUAGGAGCCAGUUUUAGUGUGAUGGUUGGAAAGUUUUUUCGGUGUAGGAUGAGCUCGGGGCCUAUCAGCUUGUUGGUGGGGUAAUGGCCUACCAAGGCGGCGACGGGUAGCCGGCCUGAGAGGGUGGACGGCCACAUUGGGACUGAGGGACGGCCCAGACGCCUACGGGAGGCAGCAGGGGGGAAGAUUGCACAAUGGGCGCAAGCCUGAUGCAGAGACGCUGCGUGGGGGAUGACGGCCUUCGGGUUGUAAACGCCUUUCGCUAGGGACGAAGCUUUUUGUGACGGUACCUAGAUAAGAAGCACCGGCUAACUACGUG